rfam:Asian citrus Psyllid, Diaphorina citri - Florida Strain, whole genome shotgun sequence.
GCCUAGUUAGCUUGGUUGGUACAGCGUCUGCCUUGUAAGCGCUAGGCCGCGGGUUCGAUUCCCGCAUGAGGCG